CCAGGCUCACAUCUAAAAGCUUACUUUUUGGUGUUUUUUAUUUUUGAAUGUUUGUCAAUCUGGAUUCUGAAACUAAGUUGCAAUCAUGCGUCGAGAAACAACCUAAGAUUAUUGAAUGAACAACGUCUUUCUUGCAAAGGUGUUUGAUAUUGUUUGUUUAUUAGCUAUUUGUAUUUUUGUGCAUUUAAAAGUUAUUAUUUGUUGCGAAUUGUCGUGUUUAGUUACUCAAUAUGAGUAAACGAGUAAAGGCCUGCUGUGUACCAGGAUGAACGAAUAAGCAACCGAUAAGACAUUCCAUUCCUACGAAUGAAGACGUCUGCAGAAUUUGGUUGCAAAUAAUAAAUAACCCCAAAUUAAUGCUUGCAGAUACAGCAUUAUCAUCACAUAGAAUAUUUGAACCAAUUUGUAGAAACCCCAAUGGCAGGUUAAAAAAAUUUGUUGCAAAUUGUGUUGUCGUGUUUACUUACUCAAUAUGAGUAAACGAGUAAAGAACUGCUGUGUACCAGGAUGCACGAAUAAGCAACCGAUAAGACAUUCCAUUCCUACGAAUGAAGACGUCUGCAGAAUUUGGUUGCAAACAAUAAAUAACCCCAAAUUAAUGCUUGCAGAUACAGCAUUAUCAUCACAUAGAAUAUUUGAACCAAUUUGUAGAAACCCCAAUGGCAGGUUAAAAAAACUUUCACUGCCAACUCUACAUUUACCUGCUAAGUACUUAUAUUUACUGUGACAGUAAAACUCUUAUGAAUCCUAGUGAAAAGUUCUGCAGAGGAAACUAAUUGCUAUUUCCUCCGAUAGAUAGUCAAUGUCCCAAUUUAUAAACCAUUCAAUAGAAGCUCAAAAUAUACGGGAUUAGAUAUUGUCACUCCUUAUGUGGCAGGUUCAGUAGCGAAGAAAUUAUUUAAAAGUCUCAAAUGCCACUUGUGUAAAAAUAUAAUAUUGUCGAACAAAUUAAUUAAGACAGAUUCAUUAAUGUAUUCUAUGGAACAUAAAAAAAAAUGUUUUAUGUGCGCCUUCAGCAAAAUUCUGUGAUAUUUUUAAAAGUUUUGCUAAUAAAAUCUUCGAAAGAUUGUCCCAGUUAAUCAAUUCGUUGGGCAUAAAGAAACAAAUAUUUCAUACUGAGGAUUUGACAGACAUUUCCUCAAUAUUUUGUUCAGAUCAUACGGAUUAUGUAAAUAUUAAUUUUAACAUAUGUGUCUUUUGUUACAUAGGUAUUAUUAAUAAAAUUUUGAAGGGCAAAGAUCAACAAUAUAAAGACUACGAUGUGAUGAAUAUGGCACAUGUUAAAUAUGGGGAAAGCUGCAAGAAAGACAACAGUAAUCAUUAAUUUACCACGGUUAUAAAAUCAGUUUUAUAUAUACCAUUGUAUAUGUACCAUGUACAAACAGAAACAUUUUUUAAACACUCCAACGUUUAACUGUUGACAGUCCUAAGCCUGCUAAAGUGUGAAGGAAAAUUUUUUAUUUGUGGAUAUAGUUAUUUAUAGAAUGACAAAAACAAAAUAAAAAUUAUAAUAAUUA